UUCACCUUCCCCUCACGUUAAAAAGACAGGUUGCAUCACGCCAGGUGUUUCCUACUGAACAGAGCUCACCCUUCCUUGGUCAACGUUCUCGACUUUAGGAAUAAAUUUAUGGGGAAUUCCCUUAUCGUAGGACCUUCCCUGGAGUCUUUCCUCGCCUCUACAUAGGAUUCCCCCGGCCAGGCUCUCCCUCAGUCGCUCCCAGCCCGUGCCGCCGAGACGAGGGAAGGAGCAGCGCAGGACUCUCUUAAUCCUGCAACAGUGAAGGCGAAGAAUCCUGCGCCUGUGUCCUGCACGCUCUUGGAAGUCACGUCGAAGCCAUGAAGGUCACCGGGUGGACAGCUGUGAUGGGCGUGGUGCUGAUGGGGCUGGUGCUGGUGCUGGGGCCGUCCAUCACAGGGGUGGAGGCGGGCAGCAGACACAUACGAGAAAUUCUCAGACCCAACAAGUUUGUCUUGCUCGGCAGCCCAGGAACCAGACCGUCAGCGGGUGCCAUACGACCCUGUGCCCGCCGUCCGUGCAGAAGACCACUCAUCACAACAUGGUGGGUCUAAGGGUAACCAAGAGACCAACGAGGACGCCACACCCUCCCCUGAUGUGUGGGCGUGAUGGCCACCUCCCCGCGCCGCCGAGCCGUGGCUGACGCGCGCGGCGAGACUCACGAACUGAUCUCGCAACAAUCUUCUUAUCUAUCUAUCUAUCUUUCUGUCUGUCAAUAUAUCUAUCCCUUUAUCUAUCAGUCUACCUAUUUAUCUAUCUAUCUAUGUCUUGCCAGCGGACUUCCAUUGCUUCUUCCUUCUUUCCUUCCUUUCUUUCUUCCCUCCUACCUUCCUUCAUUCCUUCCUUCCUUCCUUCACGUGCAAUGCCUCUUCACCCUCGACACAAAAAAUAGAUCUACGUAACUCCUAACCCUUCAAAUAUGUUUCAAGAAUGUACACGCGAAUAUAUAUAGAGGUGGAACUUUUUAUUGUUCUUUUCCUCACA